rnacentral:misc_RNA from 1 species
GAUGAAGAACGCAGCGAAAUGCGAUAAGUAAUGUGAAUUGCAGAAUUCAGUGAAUCAUCGAAUCUUUGAACGCACCUUGCGCCCUUUGGCUAUUCCGAAGGGCAUGCCUGUUUGAGUAUCGUGAACACCUCAACUCUCAUGGUUUGCCAUGAUGAGCUUGGACUUUGGGGGUUUUGCUGGCCUUUGGUCGGCUCCUCUCAAACUGAUCAGCUUUCCAGUGUUUGGUGGCGUCACGGGUGUGAUAACUAUCUACGCCUGUGGUUUUCUGCCAGAUAACCUUCAGCGAUGGAGGUUCGCUGGGGCUCAUAAAUGUCUCUCUUCAGUGGAGACAGCUUUUUGGACGUUUGAUCUCAAAUCAGGUAGGACUACCCGCUGAACUUAAGCAUAUCAAUAAGCGGAGGA